rnacentral:tRNA from 1 species
UGGGGUGUCGCCAAGUGGUAAGGCAGCAGGUUUUGAUCCUGCCAUUCGGAGGUUCGAGUCCUUCCAUCCCAG